rnacentral:tRNA from 5 species
GCCGAGGUGGCGAAAUGGCAGACGCGCUACGUUCAGGGCGUAGUGCCCGCAAGGGCGUGCGAGUUCGACUCUCGCCCUCGGCACCA